CUACUUACCUGGCAGAGGAGAUACCAUGAUCACGAAGGUGGUUUCCCAGGGCAAGGUUUACCCAUUGCUUUCCAGAUAUGCUGACCCCUGCAAUUUCCCCAAAUGUGGGAAACUUGACUGCUAAAAAAAGGGCCAAACUGUACUUUGUUUUUCUUUGGG
ensembl:snRNA U1 U1 spliceosomal RNA